GAAUUUUGAGUAUAAGAUAAGGUGAAGAGUGAGAUCCAUCAAUUUGAAGCUUUGCAUAUGGGUAGUCAAACAGAUGAAAUACCUCUUCUCGAAGAUGGUGGCCUUCUUGAGGAUGAGAAUAGUGGACUCUAUACUAGGGAUGGUUCUGUUGAUAUAAAGGGUAAUCCUGUUUUAAAGAGUGAGACAGGGAACUGGAGAGCUUGCCCAUUUAUUCUUGGUAAUGAAUGUUGUGAACGUUUGGCAUACUAUGGCAUUGCUGCUAAUCUUGUUACUUAUCUUACUAAAAAGUUACAUGAGGGAAACGUUUCAGCUGCUAGAAAUGUCACUACUUGGCAAGGCACUUGUUACAUAACGCCCCUAAUUGGGGCUGUACUGGCAGAUGCAUACUGGGGAAGAUAUUGGACGAUUGCUACCUUCUCAACUAUCUACUUCAUCGGCAUGUGCACGUUGACACUAUCGGCUUCAGUUCCUGCUUUUAAGCCCCCUCAAUGUGUGGGCUCUGUGUGCCCUUCGGCAUCUCCUGCCCAGUAUGCCAUAUUCUUUUUUGGCCUCUAUCUGAUUGCUCUUGGUACUGGUGGGAUCAAACCAUGUGUUUCGUCAUUUGGAGCUGAUCAAUUUGAUGACACAGAUCCAAAAGAGAGGGUUAAAAAGGGAUCCUUCUUCAAUUGGUUCUAUUUUUCUAUCAACAUUGGAGCUUUGAUAUCAAGCAGUUUGAUCGUGUGGAUUCAAGAAAAUGCUGGAUGGGGCCUUGGGUUUGGCAUCCCUGCAGUUUUCAUGGGCAUUGCCAUUGCAAGUUUCUUUUUUGGUACACCACUCUACAGAUUUCAGAAGCCUGGGGGAAGUCCUCUCACAAGAAUGUGCCAGGUUUUGGUU
rnacentral:misc_RNA from 1 species